UUAAGAAGCAGUCAUGGUCUUAGGAUCUCUUUCCUCUGAGUGAAAGAAAAAUUGAGAGUUUAGUUGUAAGCGUCCACUCAAUACUCUACGCAAUCUGAAUGGGGAUCUCAGGCGAUUUCAAUAAAUAUAUAUAGAGCAAUCGAUCCUUAUCCUUGCAUACUUCACAGACGGGGGAGGCUGGCUUGGAUCGGGAGAAUGGACGGAUGAAUCUGUAUAGGAAAGAAUGGAUGGAUUGUUAGGAAAAGUAUGUAUUAUAAAUGUGUUUUGGCAUCGGAACCAUCAAACAGUUUAAAUGUGAGUACACUGAUUUUGGUCAUGAAAAUGGUGUGUAUUUUGUGCAUGUUAAAAAAACAAACCAGAAAAUCAACAUGGUAACCAGGACAAUUUGAAGAAUGUUUCGGAGGAGAGUAGUCUCACCUGUCAUGGCCUUUCAUUAGAUCAGUUGUGGUAAGAAAGGAGGGGGAGAAUGAAAUAGACAAGGAUCUCGGCAAGAAUUACUUCGUUGUCGAUUCUCAAUUCUACUCUGAGUCCAACAAGGACUUACAAUUAUAACUUUAUAAACAAUUCCCUGCUACUCUCCGUCUUUCAUGAGCACGCACGAAUGUUCAAUUCAGUCUUAGAAUAUAAUUAAAUGUAACAGCAAAGGAAGUUCACCCCUCAGGAGUUAAAUAAUAAUGACAACAGUUAAGGAGAAGAAAAUUCAUUCAUUUGAUUAACAACUCCAUAAAACGGGCCAGCUUAAAAAUACAUAUGAUGUAGAUUACUACUAAUUUUCAUAUGCACGCAUAUUUUUUAUUUUUUUGGUUAUUAUUAUUGUUUGUACUUCACUAUAUAGAAAAACACAGUAGAUAAGGAUAAUAAUAACAAAAAGGAAGAAGAGAUACAAUUUAAUUCAUAUCAGUGAACCACCCUUAACUCUAAUGAAAACUAUAAACCAUGACAAGUAGAGAAACGAAGACCACGUUUAGGGGCUUCUGCAGGAUAAUAUAUAAGUAAUAUAACAUGCAUGUUAAUCCGGUGGUGUUUUUUUUUUUGGCUGGCCCGUGAAUUUGUAAUUGAUAGUAUAGAGAAAGAAUUUCCCUUUCCUGAGCUGUUUUCAUUAUUAUUUAACUACUGAGAAGGUAGUAAAUAUAAAGUGAAA
rnacentral:lncRNA from 1 species